GCAAGGAAGGGACGGUCAUUAAACUCCCAUCGACUGGCCCCUCCGAUCGUUUUCCUCGCAGAGCUUGCCCACGCUUUACGGCUAGGGCUUCCGAGGUCCAAGAUGUGCCCCAUGCGUGUGAACUGCGCCAUCAAAGCCAAGCAUGGGCGAGAAGUAGCCUUGGGACAGUAUCUAAUUCGCUUUCGGGACCCUUCAAGAUCGAUGGAAGACUUAUGCUGUUCCCCAUCGUCACGAAGACUAAGAACCGAAGGGAAAUUCUUUGAACCAUAGGAGACUCGUCUGCAAUGGGCUCUACCGGAAACUCCUGCCAUUGAUCGAAGCCAACGAAGCUGUUCCAGACAUGUUCAGCCCAACUUCGGUGCCAGGUUUUCUCUGUACCACAUGAACUUGUCUUCUAUCUGUGAGAAAUAAGGUAUCUCAAGGCCUCAACUUAAUGAUUAAUGAUGCAAGUGGACAUGUUCCUAUUAGCAUUUUCCUAUUCUUGCAACAUUUAGUUUGUCAUUUGUGUUGCGAUGAUAAAGAUAAAGGACAUGUUCUGUC